ACAGCAGCCUAGAGAGAACAGUACUAUUACCAUCCCCUUUUCAUCAGUAAGGAAACCAAGGCACCGCGGGGUUAUGUUACACAACUGUUUAGCUAACUGCCAUUGCCAGUCUCGUCGGGAAACUGAGGCUCCGAGGAGGCAUCACUCACUCAAGGCCUCACGCGGCUGCAGAGGGAACAGAGGACGCCCAGCCAGCCUUCUCUCGGCUCAUAAACGUCCAUAAGUUCAGACCCUGUUCUGCCUCCUGCUGCACGUCUGCGGGGACCCGAGCAUGUCACCCACUGGUGGGACUCUGAUGCCCUGAGACCCGCCUGGCUCUGGGGCCGCUCCUUCAUGAGCAUCAUCCCGUGGCGUCUGCCCCCAGCCCCACGAGAGCGACGCACUGAGGUACAGAGGAGCGAAAAGAAGCUCCUGGGGUCCGGCCGGGCCUCGAACCCCACCCAACGCAGCGAGCUGACCUCAAUCCAACGAAGUGAACUGAACCCCACCCAACGACACGAACUGAACCCCACCCAACGCAGCGAGCUGAACUCAAUCCAACGAAGUGAACUGAACCCCACCCAACAACAUAAGCGGCGGCCACGGGCACUCAGCCCUCCUCCUCUCUCGCCCACCCUUUCCUCCCCCCGCCUCCCUGCUCCCCGGGGCCUCCCCCUCCUCCUCCCAGGGCUUGUUCGGCUCUGAGUGCCGCUCAGACAAGGGCCACUUACCUGUUGGUUCCACUGCCUUUUCUAGCUCAAACAGUCCCAAGUGUGGCGAGACUCGGGGAGCCACGUGACCCCUCAUUUGUCACACCAGUGCCUUAAACCAGAGUCUUUGGUCACCUGAGCUGGAGAGUUCUGGGGGAGGACUCUUGUGUUUUAUUCUCUUCAGGGGGCGAUCAUCUCAACAAUAUUCUGAAGGAAAUUCCCUUUUCUGGAGGGCACGGGGAGGUGAGACCAGCCACAACAUGGAAGUAACCCAAGCAUCCACAGAUGGGUGACCGGAUACACGAAAUGUGGACCAUACAUACAAUGGAAUAUUAUUCACCUUUAACAAGGAAGGAAAUCCUGACACACACUAGAAAUGGAGGAAGCUGGAGGACAUUGGGCCAAGCGAAACAUGCCAGUGACGAAAGAACAAAUACUGCAUGAUUCCACGCGUAUGAGGGUUGUUCCAAGGCCAAAUGAGGUCACAGCAACAGCUGUUUAUUGAGUGAUUACUACAUGCCAGGGACUGAGAGAAGCACUUUACAGGGGCUAACUUGUUCAAUUCUCACAACAACACUACGAAGAUGUUCUUUUAUUGCCCCCAUUUUACAGAUGAGCAAAACCAGGGCUUUAGAAGAGAAGCCGCCUGCUCUGCGUUACACAGAGGGAAGUAGAGAGGCUGGGACUCAGACCUGAGUUGUGGUGACAGCCUGUGAGCACUGAGGUGGGGAGUCACCGCUGCCACCUUCCCUUCCUCCUCCAAGAAGUCUCCCAAGAUUCCUGCACGGGGGUGGCGCUCCUCUGAGCCCCUGGGAGCUCCCUCCUCUGGUUUCUAUGUGUCUCUGGCUCCCCUUGACCUGCUCACUUUGGACGUUAUUUCUGUCUCUGCCCCCAGCAGAAUGCAGGCUCUCCGAAGGUGGGUCUGGGUGGCUUUCAUUUUGGAAUCCGGGGUGCCCAGCCCAGAUGGCACAGAGCUGACAGAAGCCUGGGCAGCGGUGGAGAGCUCGGCCCGAGGGCAGGACCCUGGACAGCUCAGCUGGGAUCCGCUGGGCGCGGUGCCGCCUGCAGCCUGCAGGGUUUUGUGACGGUGUUAGUGACCACGACAGCCCUGAAAAGGAAGAGGAGGAGGAGGGUGAAUAAGACUACGACGACGUCGGCACCAUGUCCACAUCUCGCCAUCCUGUGUGGGGCCCAUGCUGUGCUGUAUCGGUCACAAAAGUCAGUCAUGCUGUAGGAACAACACACAUCUCAGUGGCUGACACCACCCAGGUUUACCCAUCACUCCUGCAAAGCCUGGCGGUCCAGAUGACGCUCCGGGACAGGGGUCCUCCGCACACACACUCAGCGAGCCAGGCCCGCGUCUGGAUCCUGUGGCUUCCCCACCGCAGGAGGACGUCACAGCAGCAGCGGCAGGACAAGGGCGUGCUCAAGGGUUUGCAGCAGCAAUGUCACUUCUGUGCACAGAACUGGUCCCCCACCCCCACCCCGCAAAUGCUGGGAUGGGGGAGUGCAAGUCUCCUGUGUUUCCAGAUGCACAGGAGCUCUUAAUAUUUCUACCACAUGGGACAAACAUUUUACAUAAUCACACCUCACUUAACGCUUGUGACAAUUCCUGAGCACACACAAUCCUGGGAGAGUCAGUAGAGUAGAGGCCAAGGCCUUGGACUCUGGAGUCAGAUCCGGGUUCAAACUACAGUUCCACUGUCCAAUGAGUGAUGGCCUGGCUCCACAGGUAGUGAGCUCCCCAUCACAGGAAGUAUACAAGCAGAAAUUGGAUGACCACUUUGAUCAUCAUCAUCAUUGUACAUUAGUGGCUGAUCUCUCCCAGAAGAUGCCUACCUUUUAUUUUAUUUUUAAAUUAUGUUUUAUAGAGGUAAAAUGUAUCUACCGCAAAAUGCAUAUAACUUGUGUACCACUGGCUGCGUUUUGACAAAUUCUACACCUGUGUAACUAACACUCCAGCCAAGAUAUAAAAUAUUUCC
ensembl:lncRNA